rnacentral:rRNA from 1 species
GAUGAACGCUGGCGGCGUGCCUAAUACAUGCAAGUCGAGCGAACAGACGAGGAGCUUGCUCCUCUGACGUUAGCGGCGGACGGGUGAGUAACACGUGGAUAACCUACCUAUAAGACUGGGAUAACUUCGGGAAACCGGAGCUAAUACCGGAUAAUAUAUUGAACCGCAUGGUUCAAUAGUGAAAGACGGUUUUGCUGUCACUUAUAGAUGGAUCCGCGCCGCAUUAGCUAGUUGGUAAGGUAACGGCUUACCAAGGCAACGAUGCGUAGCCGAACUGAGAGGGUGAUCGGCCACACUGGAACUGAGACACGGUCCAGACUCCUACGGGAGGCAGCAGUAGGGAAUCUUCCGCAAUGGGCGAAAGCCUGACGGAGCAACGCCGCGUGAGGGAUGAAGGUCUUCGGAUCGUAAAACUCUGUUAUUAGGGAAGAACAAAUGUGUAAGUAACUAUGCACGUCUUGACGGUACCUAAUCAGAAAGCCACGGCUAACUACGUG